UCGAAAGCCUGUCCCAGUUCGGACUGGAGUCUGCAACCCGACUCCACGAAGCUGGAUUCGCUAGUAAUCGCGCAUCAGCCAUGGCGCGGUGAAUACGUUCCCGGGCCUUGUACACACCGCCCGUCAAGCCAUGGGAGCCGGGGGCGCCUGAAGUCCGGGACCGCGAGGACCGGCCUAGGGCGAAACUGGUAACUGGGGCUAAGUCGUAACAAGGUAUC
rnacentral:rRNA from 1 species